ACUGAACCUAGAGUUGUUACAGGUAUGGUUUCUAUGUCACCUGUAUAUCAGUAAGUGGCAAAGAGGCUAAGAGACUUAGGCUAUGCCUAAGUUCUGACUUAUGAGUAGCUAGAUGAUUAGUAGCCUACCAAG